rnacentral:rRNA from 1 species
UAAGGAAUAUUGGUCAAUGGACGCAAGUCUGAACCAGCCAUGCCGCGUGAAGGAUUAAGGCCCUCUGGGUUGUAAACUUCUUUUAUAGGGGAAGAAAUGUGACGGUUCUCCGUCACUUGACGGUACCCUGGGAAUAAGCACCGGCUAACUCCGUGCCAGCAGCCGCGGUAAUAAGGAGGGUGCAAGCGUUAUCCGGAUUCACUGGGUUUAAAGGGUGCGUAGGUGGGCAGAUAAGUCAGUGGUGAAAUCUUCCGGCUUAACCGGGAAACUGCCGUUGAUACUAUUUGUCUUGAAUAUUGCGGAGGUAAGCGGAAUAUGUCAUGUAGCGGUGAAAUGCUUAGAUAUGACAUAGAACACCAAUUGCGAAGGCAGCUUACUACACAAUCAUUGACACUGAGGCACGAAAGCGUGGGUAGCGAACA